GUCGGGUUGCUUGGGAAUGCAGCCCAAA
rnacentral:piRNA from 3 species